GGGGCUGAUUCUGGAUUCGACGGGAUUGUGAACCCUUAGGUGCAUGCCGAGGUGCGGUAGGCCUCGAUAAAAAACCGCAAAAAAAAUAGUUGCAAAAGCAAACUUAAAUGCACGCGUAGCUAACGACGACUUGUUCGCCGUAGCUGCUUAAUCAGCCUAAGAAACUGAGCGUCCCCUCUCUCCCUAGCCUCCGCUCUUAGGACGGGGAUCAAGAGAGGUCAAACCCAAAAGAGAUCGCGUGGAUGCCCUGCCUGGGGUUGAAGCGUUAAAUCCAAUCAGGCUAGUUUGUUAGUGGCGUGUCCAUCCGCAGCUGACAGGCGAAUGUAAAGAUUGGACUAAGCAUGUAGUGCCAACGGCGUAGUAAUUUCGGACGCGGGUUCAACUCCCGCCAGCUCCACCA
rnacentral:tmRNA from 1 species